GGCCCCGAGGUGUUACACGUGAGGUUGCAACCCUCAAGAAGCAAAUAGUUUUGCCGGGGCU
rnacentral:tRNA from 1 species